rnacentral:rRNA from 1 species
GGCCUAACACAUGCAAGUCGAACGGUAACAGGAAUCAGCUUGCUGAUUCGCUGACGAGUGGCGGACGGGUGAGUAAUGUCUGGGAAACUGCCUGAUGGAGGGGGAUAACUACUGGAAACGGUAGCUAAUACCGCAUAACGUCGCAAGACCAAAGAGGGGGACCUUCGGGCCUCUUGCCAUCGGAUGUGCCCAGAUGGGAUUAGCUAGUAGGUGGGGUAAAGGCUCACCUAGGCGACGAUCCCUAGCUGGUCUGAGAGGAUGACCAGCCACACUGGAACUGAGACACGGUCCAGACUCCUACGGGAGGCAGCAGUGGGGAAUAUUGCACAAUGGGCGCAAGCCUGAUGCAGCCAUGCCGCGUGUAUGAAGAAGGCCUUCGGGUUGUAAAGUACUUUCAGCGGGGAGGAAGGGAGUAAAGUUAAUACCUUUGCUCAUUGACGUUACCCGCAGAAGAAGCACCGGCUAACUCCGUGCCAGCAGCCGCGGUAAUACGGAGGGUGCAAGCGUUAAUCGGAAUUACUGGGCGUAAAGCGCACGCAGGCGGUUUGUUAAGUCAGAUGUGAAAUCCCCGGGCUCAACCUGGGAACUGCAUCUGAUACUGGCAAGCUUGAGUCUCGUAGAGGGGGGUAGAAUUCCAGGUGUAGCGGUGAAAUGCGUAGAGAUCUGGAGGAAUACCGGUGGCGAAGGCGGCCCCCUGGACGAAGACUGACGCUCAGGUGCGAAAGCGUGGGGAGCAAACAGGAUUAGAUACCCUGGUAGUCCACGCCGUAAACGAUGUCGACUUGGAGGUUGUGCCCUUGAGGCGUGGCUUCCGGAGCUAACGCGUUAAGUCGACCGCCUGGGGAGUACGGCCGCACAGGUUAAAACUCAAAUGAAUUGACGGGGGCCCGCACAAGCGGUGGAGCAUGUGGUUUAAUUCGAUGCAACGCGAAGAACCUUACCUGGUCUUGACAUCCACGGAAGUUUUCAGAGAUGAGAAUGUGCCUUCGGGAACCGUGAGACAGGUGCUGCAUGGCUGUCGUCAGCUCGUGUUGUGAAAUGUUGGGUUAAGUCCCGCAACGAGCGCAACCCUUAUCCUUUGUUGCCAGCGGUCCGGCCGGGAACUC